rnacentral:rRNA from 1 species
GACGAACCGAGCGAACGUUAUUCGGAAUCACUGGGCUUAAAGGGCGCGUAGGCGGGCGAUCAAGUCAGGGGUGAAAGCCCCCAGCUCAACUGGGGAAGUGCCUUUGAUACUGAUUGUCUCGAGGGAGAUAGGGGCGUGCGGAACUUCCGGUGGAGCGGUGAAAUGCGUAGAUAUCGGAAGGAACACCGAUGGCGAAAGCAGCGCGCUGGAUCUCUUCUGACGCUGAGGCGCGAAAGCCAGGGGAGCAAACGGG